AUUGAACGCUGGCGGCAGGCUUAACACAUGCAAGUCGAGCGAGCGGCGGACGGGUGAAUAGUGUCUGGGAAACUGCCUGAUGGAGGGGGAUAAGUACUGGAAACGGUAGCUACUACCGCAUACCAUCAGAUGUGCUGCGGUGGGAUUAGCUAGUGGGUGUGGUAAUGGCUCACCAAGGCGACGAUCCCUAGCUGGUCUGAGAGGAGGACCAGCCACACUGGAACGGAGACACGGCCCAGACGCCUACGGGAGGCAGCAGUGGGGAAUCUUGCACAAUGGGCGCAAGCCUGAUGCAGCCAUGCCGCGUGUGUGAAGAAGGCCUUCGGGUCGUAAAGCACUGUCAGCGAGGAGGCGUUACUCGCAGAAGAAGCAACGGCUAACUCCGUGCCAGCAGCCGCGGUAAUAC
rnacentral:rRNA from 1 species